UACGGGGGGGGCAAGCGUUGUUCGGAAUUACUGGGCGUAAAGGGCUCGUAGGCGGCCAACUAAGUCAGACGUGAAAUCCCUCGGCUUAACCGGGGAACUGCGUCUGAUACUGGUUGGCUUGAAUCCGGGAGAGGGAUGUGGAAUUCCAGGUGUAGCGGUGAAAUGCGUAGAUAUCUGGAGGAACACCGGUGGCGAAGGCGGCUACCUGGACAGAAACUGACGCUGAGGCGCGAAAGCUAGGGGAGCAAACAGG
rnacentral:rRNA from 1 species